AGAGAAACUAGAAAACGACACCGGCGGUUUGCUAUUCUACCUCUUUCAAGAUUAACAGUUCUUAACAAGAUACACUCGAUGUGUUGCCCCGAAGCAGGGAAAGACAGAACCUAGUCCCGUAGCUCAGUUGGUUAGAGCACUACACUGAUAAUGUAGGGGUCAGCAGUUCAAGUCUGCUCGGGACUACCAAAUGCGAGUUUUGGCUACUGGAGGUACAACCUUACCUAUAAAGAAUAGAGUAGUUAAAAUAAGCGACAUCGGGGGAAUUAGCUCAGCUGGCUAGAGCACCUGCCUUGCACGCAGGGGGUCAACGGUUCGAAUCCGUUAUUCUCCACCGUUCCUAAGUAGUGAUACUUAGGAGUGAGUUCUUUGACAUGUUGGAAAUAAAAUAAAGAAUCUACAAUUAGAGCGAGAAAGUA
rnacentral:tRNA from 1 species